GUGUACACACAGACACACACACAUACACACUAUAUAUAGUGUGUAUGUGUCUGUCUGUCUGUAUGUAUGUAUGUAUGUAUGUAUACAUAUAUAAUGUUAUUUGCAACUUAAAACAAUUAUUGUAUAAUAUUGUUCAUACCUGACCCUGUUUCCGUCAAAAGUCUGUUAUCUUCCACAAUCCUGUUGAAAACAUAUCACAUAUUUUGAAACACUGAAAACUAUUUGAAAGCAAGAAAGACUGGCUCAACACUUUACCUAAUUAAUUCAUACAAUAAAGUAAUGUGUCAAAUAAUAAAUACAUUAAACUUCUCCAGAGCCGAUAGAAGUUAAGCCUACCACAAGCAGGUGUCUUCAAGGGUCUUCUACCACACACUGCUGUGAUGUGUUGGACUCCUUAUAUUGAAUCUGUUACGGUCACUCAGCAAAAGUUAAAUAUGGGAUGCAUGCCAAAUGUGGUGUGGAUAACAGGGAGAGCAGACAUCUGUUACAUGUAUGGUGCUCAUAAAUACAUCAUGUCUUGAGUUUUGGUCAGAGAAGAGUGUCCCUAUUGGUCUUUUUAAACCUGCCUUUAAUCGGUUGUGACCAUGUUGAGCCAUCCUUCAUUAAACCAUUCCGCUGGGCCCCUACAUGCCUUAAUUACUUAGGAGUUAAAAUUACACCCAGAAUUGAUCAACUCCAUGUCGAAAAUAUCAAUCCUUUGAUGAAACACAUUCAAGAAAAGAUGAUGAGUUGGAAGAACCUCCCCAUAUCCUUUCUUGGGAAAAUAAAUUUAAUUAAGAUGACAGUUCUUCCUAAAAUAAUGUACCCUGUGUCAACGCUCUUUCUGAUUCUGAAAACAAAUGAUAUUAGAGACAUUAAUAAAGCUAUGUCAGACUUUAUAUGGGCUGGCAGAAAGCCCAAAAUUAAACUUUACAUUCUGCAGCUCCCACAGGAAUGAGGUGGAUGGUGUUUACCCAAUAUCGAAAACUAUGUAUUAUCAAUUCAAGCCAGAAUAAUUUCUUUGUGGAUGGUUGGAAAGGCUGACAUGCCGUGGCUUGAGAUAGAGGCAGUAAUCUGCAAACCCUUCCCCCCAGUAGACUUAUUUGACAGAAAGUGGAAGAGAAUUACCAGCCAUAACCAGAGAUAACUUUUUAAUUACAAUCAUAAUAAAAAUUUGGAACAGCCUCAGAAAUUUUUUUCAGAAAACCCAUUCAUUUAACUCCCUCACAACACUGGUGGAUAACCCAGAAUUAACAGCAGGAGGAGCUGGACCUAACUUUAAGAAUUGGCAGGAAUUAGGUAUUAAAAGAAUCUAUGAUUUGUGGGACAAAGGGACCUUUAAAACAUUUGAAUCUCUAAGACCUCAGUAUAAAAUACCCACCAAUGAUUUUUAUAAGUAUUUGGAAAUCAGAAACUAUGUGUACACCAAAAUGAACACUCUUAGUCCCUCAGAUGACUUUCAGUUACUAGAAGGAACGCUUCUGGAAUGCCAAAAGCAUAAACACUUUGUAUCCAAAUUUUAUUGUAAGCUCCAAAAUUUAAAAGUGGACAGGCUUGAAUCAUUAAGAACAUCUUGGUGUACACUACUCAAGGUAGAAACUGAUAAAGAAUCAUGGGAAGAAAUUUUACUGUUACCCUCUAAAUUAUCAAUAUGUAAUAAAUACAGGGAGGUGCAAUAUAAUAUUUUCCAAAAUGUUUAUAUAUCCCCCUAUAUCUAGUAAGUACACAAUAGGAGCAUCCCCAAACUGUCCAAAGUGCAAAACAACUAUAGGGACCAAAUUUCAUUGCCUCUGGGAAUGUAAGGCAAUUUGGCUGUCUUGGCAGGCUGUAGGUAGAGAGAUCGGCCUAGUGAUAGGGCAGCAACUCCCUCUGAUCCCACUACUGUGCCUGCUAGGACUCAUACCAGGUUCUAUAAAGGUACACAAUGAGAUAGUUCAGUUUAUUUUAAUGUUGGCUAGGAAGGCUGUAAUGACUAAGUGGGUUGGUGUCAAUCCCUCCUCUAUUUAACUGUGGAAGUCUCUAAUAUCAGAGGUAAUUAUUUUAGAGAGAUUGAGGUACUGUAUUGGUGGUAGAAUUCAUCACUUUACAACAAAAUGGGGAAGAGUGAUUAAUUUUUUGGGUAUUCAGUCUAGAAUGAAAUGAACAGACUUGGUUAAGGGAUUGAUCUGCUUAGAUAUAAAAGAAUCCCAUGCUUGCAGUGCUUUACUCUUUUCUGUAGCCAGCUAUUUAUUUAUUUAUUUAUUUAUUUAUUGUUGUUGCUGCUGUGAAUUGUAUCUUGGAACCACUAUGACUGUAUUGUAUAUACUAUGGUGAACUCUUGUUUUGUUUUAUUUGUGUUGUGUUUUUCCCGAUCUGAAAAAUCAAUAAAAACAAUGUUUUUUUAAACAAUAAAUAAAUAAUGACUAAAUACACUAUAAAUUCAUAACAAAAAAUGAAAGAUGCAACACAGCUCUUAUUAAUCUAAUAGUGAGGAAAUGUUUUCACAAGUCUUGAAGUCCAUCACAGUCCCUUGCACCACCAGCUGCUCAAACAGUUUGCACCCUCUCUCAGUUUACUUCAGAUCAUUCUUUACAUCAAUAAUUUCCAAGGAGGAUUACAUGUAUGUGUUAAAAGCAAAAUUGUCCAUACUUAUUGUAAAUGUCUUCCUCUAAACAGGAAAUAGAAAACUACAAGACGAGCUGCAGAUGACCCAGAAGAUAAAACGUGUAAAUAUCAUUCCUUGACUUUCAGCUCAGAUGAAAUAAGGCCAAGGUGGAAGGAAAUGGAGGAGGCAGAACCCACAGGACCACCACUACAAGCCACAAUAGCAGAUAAUAAAUUGAUAAAUAACCUUCAUGAUAGAGGCAACCUUUGGAUAAAAAUAACUCAAAAAAUAUGGUGGAAAAUGGUCAAAAACCAUAACCUGAAGGGUGCAGAAAAGAUGCUGCAGUGGUGCGUGUAUGACACAGAUUUUAUGCCAAACAGGACAGACUUCAGAUAUAAAAUGUGGAGGAAUACAGGGGUAACUGCUUACUGUUGUUUGAUACAGAAAGGAGUUGAAAAAAAAAUUGAAAUGGGCAAGAGGGAAUAUGAAUUGGAGAACAAAGAUUUCUUUAAGUAUUGAUAGAUACGGCAUUGGUUGAAUGAGAUCAUCGCUGAGGGAUCAGGAAAAUUGGACAGUGACAUACUAAAUGUUUCUGUGACAGCCGAUGUAUCCGGGAGUGGAUGUGGAAUAAUAUCCAGAUUAUAAAAAAGUUUUCAUGUCUCCUCAAACCUGAACACUAAACAUGUUAAAAAUAAAUGGGAAAGAGAAGGAGGAGUGCUAAUAUCUGAAAAAGAAUGGGAGAAUAUUUGUAAAUUACAAUGGAAAACCACUCAUUCACACAGCUGGAGGGAAUUCAGGUGGAAAAGUAUGAUGAGAUUCUUUAUGACCCCUGCCCAAAAGAGACAUCAAGGUGUUGGUACAAAUUGUUGGAGGUUGUGUGGUUCAACUGCAGCCAAUCAUAACCACAUAUUCUGGGGUUGCCUGAAACUCGCAUCUUUUUUGGCGAGAAGUUCAGAAAUGUUUGGAAACUUAUUCCAUUUGACAUUUUCACACUCUAUUUGGUAGCUGCAGUACUACAUACUCAAUCUCCAGCAGACAAAUACUUAAUGAGAGUAUUACUUGUGGGAGGGAAGAAGGCCUUGACUAAGAAGUGGUGGUACUGGUAUGAACUGGUAUGAACUGAUAUGAAAUUAUAUAUGACCUUUACAUUAUGGAAAGACUGAUGUCUGUAAAGAUACGAUCAGAGAAAUUUCUGAGAUGGUGGACAAAAAGGGUCAGGCAUGUGGGUCCACGGAGACCAGACUUAGUUUAACUACAUUUCGAUAAAAUAUUGAUUCCACAGGAUUACCAAAAGAUUGUGUGAGUGUAUAUUUAUGAGUAUAUGAGUGAGAAUGACAGCUUCUUUGUUCAUUUGUUUUUCGGUUCAGGAAUGUAUAUAUUUGUUUAAAAUGUAAUUAAAAAUGAAAGCGAGAGCAGCAGCUGAAAGGUCAAUAUCAUUGAAACAUGUCUUGGACUAUUGGGUGAUAUUGUACAUGGUAUAUAUGUUUAUAGAUAUGUGUAAUAUUUGAAUGAUUUGAAUUUGACAUGAAUGUUGGACGAUGUAUGAUCUCCAUGAUAAAAAUGUAAUUAAAAAAAAAAAUAAAAAAUUCUGUGACGUAAGGAAGUGAUUUUUAAAUAUCAACUGGCUAAUUGUAAAAACUUGAGAGUGCAUGAAUGUAUAGUUACUUACAUGAUGUUUACUGAGAUAACACAGAUUUUUUUUGAAUUGCAUCUGGCUUCUAAAGCUUCGAACUGAGAAUUCAUCAUGAUUUAAGCAACAAGGAACCAAUUCAUUUAUAAACAUGAGUUAUUGUGACAUAAUUAAUUUUUUCUACUCAAUCAGCUUCUUUUAAUUUUCUAAAGUGAUGCCGGCAGCGGCAUGCUUCAAUAAGUAUUGUUCAGCAAUUUCAUAACUUGUAUCUUGUAGUCACUCACUCUCAGACAGCGCAAUGUCAUCAACAUAUGACAGACAGCGAAAUAAGUUCAAGAAUGCUUUAUUGUGGUGUAUUCUACAUCAUAUUAUAUGAUUAGAAACAGACCAUUGGUUCAAGUACAUUACUCAGCUGCGUCUUUACCCUGUAAAAUAAAGAAGAAAUGAAAUAAAUACAAGUUUAAAGACAUCACAUUCUGCCUGCAUAAAGAUAUGUUGAGGUUUUACAAUUUGUCAGUUGUAUGAAGCGUAAAGCAAUAAUGCAAUUUUUCAGUCAUGGCUUAGUAACUAUCUGAAGUUUAGUCACUAUUUACCUUGCCAGAGUCCCGGCUCUUAGCUCUGAGCUUGUUGACCUGGGAUUCAGCAAUGUCAGCACGCUCCUCAGCCUCCUCCAGCUCAUGCUGGAUCUUCCUGCACUUGGACAGAUGAACAUUGGCCUGCUCCUCCUGGAAUUCAAAAUAUAGUAAAAUGUUUAGGCUUUUAGAAAUGGUCCAUAGGUUUACAGAUGUGAAAUAAUAUAGUGUCAAAUAGUCAUUGUUUUAAACAAAUGCUUUUCCUUACCGCUUCCUCAGCCUGCCUCUUGUAGGCCUUCACCUUCAGCUGCAGCUUGUCAACCAGGUCCUGCAGCCUGGUAACGUUCUUCUUGUCCUCCUCAGUCUGUAAUAGAAAAUAUAAAUUUAUGUAGACUUUUGUAAUGGUAAGUGUUACAUAAAUCUUUCCUGUAUAUUCCAUGUGUCAGUGGAACUUACCUGAUAGGUGAGUUCCUUCACUCUCCUCUCAUAUUUGCGGACACCCUUCACGGCAUCUGCACCACGUCUCUGCUCAGCCUCAACCUCAGACUCCAACUCACGCACCUUUUAAAACAAGAGAAAAUUGAUAAAUUAUCAACAAUUCAUGUGUUUUCAUACAUUUGUUGAACUGCAGAAAUCUGAUCAUAUUUAUCUUACUCUAGACUCGAGUUUCUGGAGCUGCUUCUUGCCACCCUUCAUGGCCAGGUUCUCAGCCUCAUCCAGACGGUGCUGCAGGUCCUUAACAGCAACCUCCAGGUUCUUCUUCAUCCUCUCCAGGUGAGCACUGGUGUCCUGCUCCUUCUUCAGCUCCUCAGCCAUCAUAGCAGCCUGAAAAAAAUGAUUUUUCAGUGUGAAAUGCCAUCACAAGUCUCUGUUGGGUUGGAGUAUAAUAGCAAACAAAUGGUCUUUAAUCCUACAUCAGUGAUAGCCUUCUUGGCCUUCUCCUCUGCAUUCCUUGCUUCCUGAACAGUGUCAUCCACUUCACUCUGGAUCUGGACCAGGUCAGCCUCGAGCUUCUUCUUGGUGUUCAGCAGGCUUGUGUUCUGAAAGAUGAGAAAUUGGUUGUUAUCUCGUCCCUUCCAUGGUUGUUUAGAUUUGUGAAACGCUGGAGAAAUGUUUAAAGUCAUGUUCACCUGAGAGUGCAGAAGUCCAACACGCUCACUGGCAUCCACCAGCUCCUGCUCCGCGACUUUGCGGCUUCUCUCUGUCUGUUCCAGAGCAGCCCUAAGUUCCUCAAUUUCAGCCACCAUCAGACCGUUCCUGCGGUCCACCAUAGCAGCCUGUUCCUUCAGGUCAUCCUGGGCUCUGACAGCAUCAUCAAGGUGCAGUUGAGCAUCCUAGUGCAAAACAUGAUCGGGAAAGUAUUCAUAUGAAUGUCUGAAUGUUGGUGUACUUACUAUCAUGUGUGCAAGGACUCUUUGUGCUCUGUGUAUUACAAUACCUUGAGCUGUGCCUGCACAUUCCUCAGCUGUUUCUGGGACUCAGAAGCCUGGCGAUUGGCAUGGCUCAGCUGAAUCUCCAUCUCGUUCAGAUCUCCCUCCAUCUUCUUCUUGAUUCUCAGGGCAUCGUUUCUGCUCCUGACCUCAGAAUCCAGAGUGCUCUGCAUGGAGUCAAUCACCCUCUGGCUGUUCCUCUUGAUCUGCUCCAUCUCCUCAUCUUUCUCUGCCAGCUUCCUGUCAACCUCACCCUUAAUCUGGUUCAGCUCCAGCUGGACACGCAGGAUCUUAGACUCCUCAUGCUCCAGAGUUCCCUAAUGAUAUCAAAGAACUACAUAUUGACCUCUGCCUUUAAAGCUUUUAUGCAAUGUUAGUUCAUAACUUAAAGUUGUUUCUUUUAAGAAGGUCUCCCCAGAAAAACAGACAAAGGUUUACCUCAGCCUCUUCAAGAGCUGUCUGGAUCUCAGACUUCUCUGUCUCCACCUGCUUCUUGGCCUUCUCCAGCUCAUGGAUGCUCUUGCCAGUCUCACCAAUCUGUUCAGUCAGAUCUGAGAUCUCCUCUGCAGAUGGAUGCAGAUGUUUAAUAUGUGAAAGCUGUGAAAUGGCAAUUGUACAACUUUCCUCUGACAAACACAUGCACGUCUUUUAAAGCAACUAAGUUCUAACAGCAAACUGCUGUUGUUAAUACAAUGUGGUAUUAACUCACGCUGCAGGUUCUUGUUUUCACGCUUCAUGGUCUCCAGCUGAUCCAGAGACUCCUCAUAAGAGUUCUUCAUCUUGAACAGCUCAGUGCUGAGAGUACGAGCCUCCUUCUGAGCUCCCUCAAGCUCUGCCUGACCCUCCUCAUACUUCUGCUUCCACUCUGCCAGCACCUGAACAACACAGUUUAUACAGUUAUAUAUAUAGCCAAAAAAUUAUUUUCUAGCUUCAUUUCUUGGUUGCAAAAAGUAAAAGAUGUUACCUUGUCAAAGUUCCUCUGCUUCUUGUCCAGGUUGGCAGCCAGCCCAUUAGCUCUCUCCACAUCAAUCAUGAGGUCCUCCACCUCACUCUGGAGCCUCUGUUUGGUCUUCUCCAGAGAGGCACAUUUGGAAUUGACAGCCUCAAUCUGCUCCUCAGCCUCCUGAAGGCGCUGAGCCAACUUUUUCCUGUAGGAAAAGUCACAUUUGUCUUGCUAUUUGUCGACCUAUGCUGUAAUGCUAUACGUCUGAAUAUUCAGUUGUUUGAAUAUUACUCACUUGGCUUCCUCAAGCUCCUCUGUGCGCUGGAUAGCGUCGGUUUCAUACUUAGUUCUCCACUGAGCCACCUCACUGUUAGCCUUGGACAUUCCACGCUGCAGCUCAGCCUUGGCCUCCUGCUCCUCCUCAAACUGCUCCCUCAGCAGGUCGCAGUCAUGGCGGGCAGAUUGCAGUCCAUGGGCAAGAGCAUUCUUGGCCUGGAAUUAGACAUACAAUUGAAUGUGCAAAAUGUCUAAAUCCCCAACCAAUAAUGGCAAUACAUAUUUAAGAUGAAGGUUUCUUACCUUAACCUCCUCUUCAAUCUGCCUCUUCAGCUCCUCAAUCUGCUGAGUGAAGGCCUGUUUCCCUCUGGUCAGCUGGGAUACAAGAGCCUCUUUCUCCUCAAUUUGACGGCCAAACUCACCUGGAGUGAAAACAAUCAUCAAACUUUAGUCUUUGUUCAGUUUCUCUGUCAAACACUGAAGAUCAAUGCAUUUAGACACUGUUUUGUACAUACCGUUUUCUGUCAGGAGACGAGCUUUCUGUGCACCUGCAUCAUUCAACUGGCGGAUGUUUUCAUCAUUCUUGGUCUUCAGUUCACUAAGUUGGUCCUCAAGAGUACGGCACAUCUUUUCAAGAUUUCCCUAAGAAGGAGAAGAGAAAUCAGAUCAAUGAUUUGGUUGUCUUUAUAUUGAUUACAGUUUUACUGUCAUUUAGAUAUUUAGCACCACAAGUGAAUGUGUUGUGUACCUUUGCUUUAGCAACAGCCUCCAUGUUGCUGGAGAGGUCAUCAAUCUCCAUCUUGUAUUCACUCUUCUCCUUCUCAAGCUUCUGCUUGACGCGCUGCAGGUUGUCGAUCUGCUCUCCCAGCUCAGCGACGCUGUCGGCCUGCUUCUUGCGAAGAGCAGCAGCCGUGGCUUCAUGCUGCAGAGUAGAUUCCUCAAGGUCACGACGGAGCUUCUGGAACUCAGCUUCACGCUUCUUGUUCAUCUCAAUCUGAGCAGCAGUUGCACCGCCGGCCUCCUCCAGUCUCUCACUGAUCUCCUCAAGUUCCCUGGAGAGGUCAGCCCUCUGCUUCUCAACCUUGGCACGAGCAGCACGCUCAGCCUCAAUCUCCUCCUCCAGUUCCUCAAUGCGAGCCUGUUGGAUGUAGAUAUGUAGUUUUUCAGUAAAUGUUCAACUUUGAGUGACCAAGUAGGAAAUUUACAAGUGAUGUUUGAAGUAACACAACGCAUCCGUGACCUGAAGCUCCUUGAUCUUCUUCUGAAGCUGGGCACCCAUUGACUGCUCAUCCUCAAUCUUGCUCAGGAGCUGGCUAAUUUCAAAGUCCUUCCUGUGAGAGUGUUGAAAUGCAUAGUGAGAAUUCAUCCAUGCUCUGGUCUCCAGACAUAUUCUUUUUUUUUCAAUUUCAUUUUCAAUUGAGAUUUCAAUCUGAACUUAGUUACUUUUUAAUUUUCUCCUCAGACUGCUGCUUGUCAUUCUCAAGAUCCAUGAUGGAUUCCUGGGCCAGUUUCAGAUCACCCUCCAGCUUCCUCUUGGCUCUCUCAAGGUCCAUACGAAGCUUCUUCUCUUGCUCCAGAGAGCCCUCAAGCUGCACAGGAAUAUGGGUUUGUUAUUGUCAUAUUCAAGAUUCAAGAAGGAUCCUGUUGUACUUGUCCAGACGACUUAAAACUUACAUCAUCGACUUGCUGCUCAAGCUUGGUCUUGGCCUUGGUCAGAGUAUUGACUUUGUCUUCCUCAGCCUGCAGGUCAUCCAGAGUCUGCUGAUGAGCCUCCUGAAGGGCUUUCUUCUCUUUGGUCAGCUUAGCAAUGCUCUCAUCCUGAGAGGCCAUCUCCUCAGUCAGAUUCUUCACCUGUGUUUGCAGGAAACAUGUUUUUAUUGCAUGAAGGCAUCAUUCCAAAAUGUUAUUUCAUCUGCUCGAUAUAUUCAAGUUUACAAACCUUGUUCUCAGUGGCAUGUUUCUCCUUUUCCACUUUGGCCAAGGUAAGCUCCAGGUCAUCAAUAUCCUUUUUGAGCUCAGAGCAUUCGUCCUCCAGCUUUCUCUUCUUGGCAGUGAGCUCAGCAUUGAUUUCCUCUUCAUCCUCCAGUCUCUCAGUGGUCUCUUUGAGUUUGGCCUCCAGCUGAAUCUUGCUCUUGAUGAGACCCUCACAUCUCUCCUCAGCAUCUACCAGAUUCUCUGAUUCCUUGUUUACAUUGUAGAAGUGACAUUAGCACAUUGACAUUUUGUGGACAUGCGGACAUAAAAUAAGUGGCACCGCUUUUUCUCUUGAUGCCUACUUACAGAUGCUACUUGCAGUUGCAGAUCGUUCUUCUCCUGCAGAAGAGACACCAUCUUCUCCUCCAGUUCCUUCUUCUUGGCCAAGGCAGCAGCCAGGUCACUUUGCAUCUUCUCAUAGUUGUCCUUCAUCUGGGCCAGCUCCUUCUCAGUCUCAGCACUCUUCAGCAGAGGCUUGAUCUUGUAGUACACCUUCAUCCAUGGCCAGUGUUUGACAUUCAUGAAUGAGCGGACGUUGUACUGGAUGGUAAAGAUGGCUUCCCUGUGGACAAGAAGUUGUUGUUAAGGAAGUUUUUAUUGAGAUUUUUCACAUGACUUUGUGUUGAGAAUUUGCUGUUUUCAACAUGCCUCCUCUCCAUCAUCUUGACAAACUCCUUUCUCAUGAGGUAAGCACGGCAGAGAGCCUGAGUCAUGGUGACCAGAGCUGCCAGCUUAUCAUCUCUCAUCUCCUCAAGGGUACCCAGCAGACCGGCCUUGAAGAAUACCUAAACAAACACAACAGUGAUUGCAGUAUAAAAUUAGACACUGACACCAGAAUGAACCCAGAGAGUGAGUACUGCACAUCUUGUACAACAUCCAAACAAAUGGGAUUUUUAGGUAUCCCACAUAUGUCAUGAAUUCUAAUUUUGAGGAGUUUCAUAAUUUUCCACAUGCUGGCUGUUCUGUAUCUGCACAAGUGAUCAGUCUCUUAUUCACUGGCACAUUGAUUAGAUUUGCACCAAAUACAGUGAAGUACAAAUUAUUAUAUGUGGCAAGAUAUAGUAAUAUGUAUAUGUAUGUAGAUAGACGAGCUGGACUGAAUAUUCAAUGUUUCAAGUAAUGAUACAGAAUUUCUAUCAUUUAAAACAAGUAACACCUGGUGCUUACCUUGGUGUGUCCAAAUCUGUACUGGUCAUGAUCAACAUCAAUUGACCCAAGCAGCUUCUCUGCGGCCUUCUUGUUGUCAAUGAACUGGCCCUCGGGGAUGACACUGGCAUUCAGUACCUUGUAUCUGUUUUGAGAGAGCCAACAGUCAGUGUGUGGAUUUUCUUGUCAUAGUCUACAUCCAACUUAUAUUAUCAUAAUAGUUGUACCUCUGCUUGAAGUCACCAUAAAGGAUUCUGCUGGGAAAACCUUUCCUGCAGAUUCUGAUACCCUCCAGGACACCAUUACACCUGAGCUGGUGGAUAACCAGGAAGUUCUCCAUCAGACCUGUACAAUAGAAAUUUGCCAAUUUAUUAGGGGUUUUGCAAACUCCAGACCAAUCCACUACACAGAAACACUUUGAAGAUCAUGUUUUGGUACCUGGAGUCUUUGACUCAUUGGGAAUCAGGCAACGCACAAAAUGAGGGUGGGUGCUCCUCAAGUUAGUCAUCAGCUUGCCCAAGUUCUCCUGUAGGUACAAAGUGGUGAACUUGUCAUAAAAACGAACAUAUGUGAAUUUCACUAUCAACUGACGUUCAAUGUAUUUGUCAACGCUCACCCUGAACUGUGAAGACACAGUCUGCAUAGAGCCACCCUUCUUCUUGCCUCCCUUCUUGCCGCCGCCACCGCUCUCUGUUUUUCAGUUGAUUUGAAAUGGAAAGUUGUGUCAGAAGAAACAGUGUUUAUAUAUUCAUGAAGAGACACAAAUAUACAAUCUGGUAAAUUUGUGAAGCAUAUAUUUUCCUACCCUCAACAACAGGAGGAUACAGCAGGGCCAGCAGUUUAACUGAAGACUUCUGGUAUAGCUGCACAACAGACUCAUUCAGUGGGUCCUUGUUCUUGUCCAGCCAGCCAGCAAUGUUGUAGUCCACAGUACCGGCAUAGUGCACCAGGGAGAAGUGGGCCUCAGCCUUGCCCUUGGCAGGCUUUGGCUUCUCAAAUGCCCUGUUUUUGCCAAGAUGCUGGUCGUACAGCUUGUUCUUGAAGGAUGUGUCAGUGGCCUUGGGGAACAUGCACUCCUCUUCAAGGAUGGAGAAGAUGCCCAUGGGCUUGAUGACAAGGAAAAGAGAUAUGUCAUGAAAUGACAGUGUUCUUCUACUGUAGUAAGAGUUGCAUUCAAAAGAAUUAUGAAGUGGAUGUGUACCUUCUCAAUCAGCUCAAUGCAGGCAGCCAAGUCCAUACCGAAGUCAAUGAACUCCCAGAUAAUACCCUCCUUCUUGUACUCCUCUUGCUCCAGGACGAACAUGUGGUGGUUGAAGAACUGCUGCAGUUUCUCAUUGGUGAAAUUGAUGCACAGCUGCUCCAUGCUGUUGAACUGUGAAUUGAGAAAUUGAUCAAGCAACCAGUGACAAACAAUUCAAAGGAUCUGGUCAUGUAAACCAAAGCGACUCCUCCUUUGCUGGGGAUGAAACUUACAUCAAAGAUUUCAAAGCCAGCAAUAUCCAGGACACCAAUGAAGAAAUUCCUUUGCUGCUUUGUGUCCAACAUCUGGUUGAUACGGAUGACCAUCCACAAGAACAUCCUUUCAUAGAUGGACUUGGCCAGGGCAGUCACUGAGUUCAGCACCUAAGGAAAUACAAGAACAUAACUUCAGUAAUGAUACACAUUAAUGUAAAAUGGUGGAAUACUGUAAAUUCCUACAUUGGAUUGACACUAGAAAAUGUCCCAAAUAGAAAUGCAUACAUAUUUGAUAUGGUUAUUGAUUUAGAAUACAUUCAGUAUUCAGAGUUAAACUAAUCUAAAGUCAGAAUAUACUGGACACUGACAUUUAUUUUGACACUGACACUUUAUUAUUUUUACUAGAACUAACACAAGUGACCUCUUUCUGCAUAAAAGGGUAUUAGACAUUGAUAACUCAUAUUUACCUGAGGAACAGUCUGUCCCUUGGUGACAAACUCAUUUCCGACUUUCACUCUGGGAUAGCACAGAGCCUUCAGCAUGUCAGCAGAGUUGAGACCCAACAGGUAAGCAACCUUGUCAGCAUCUGAAAGCAGUAUUUCACAGUUAAUACAUGCAGUAUGUGUGGUGAUUGUCCUAUGCAAAGAACAACAAACACCAUGAGUAAGUACUGAAUGACUGUUGUUCAUCAAUUUUUCACUUUGGAAUCACACCAAGUGCUCACCCUCUGUGCCAUCGGGCUCGGCCUGCUCCUCACGCUGCUUCUGCUUGAACUUCAUGUUACCAUGGUGAAGCACAGCACCAGUCAUCUUGUAGAUGCUCAUCUUCUCCUCACCACUGAAGCCCAGGAUGUCAAUGGCGUUCUGUGCAACAGAGGUGUCCACAUGAAAAAUAAUCAAUUUGGCAACACACUAGUUUGGUGACCUGAGUAAGACACAGAGUAUGAUUAUUAUUUUAAUUCUGAAAAUCACUCACGUCUGUGGCUUCCAGCUCAACUUUGUCAUCAAUACUGGCCACAGUGAUCUGACCCAUACUGCACAUGGGGAAGUCGUAGGGGUUGGUUGUGAUGAGAGACAUUUCUGAAAAUCAAAAAGGUUGAAAACAUUCAGUAAAGCAUUUAAAUAUGAAAUUGUGAAGAGGUUUAUCAUUGAGCAACAAGUCCGUCUGUUCACCAAUCAGCUCAGGUUUGUGGUUGGUCAUCAUCUGGUAGAAGAUGUGGUAGCCUCUCUCAUCAGGAAGCUGGAAUGUCACUCUAGACUUCUCCAGCAGAUCUGCAAAGUUUGUUCAUCAGUCACAAUUUGUCCCACCCUCAGACUACCUUCUAUGUUCUCUCACUGAGAAUUUGUCACUUACAUGUCUCAAUGUCAGCACUAGCCAGUUUUCCAGUUGUGCCGAAAUGGAUUCUGAUGAAUUUACCCUGUUUGGAGCAAAAGAAUCAUUAGAGUCCCUUCACAUGGGUAAUGUGUCAACAAAAUUCUCCUGAGUCGGAAUCACUUGAUACUUACGAAACGAGAGGAGUUGUCAUUCCUCACAGUUUUGGCGUUACCGUAAGCCUCCAGCAGAGGAUUGGCAGCAAUAAUCUGAUCCUCCAGUGAGCCCUAGAAUCCCGGUUUAGAUUUGAUAUCAGAAAAGGACCGUCCUUCUGGAAGUAUGUUCUGUACUUUGAGAAAUCUGACCAUCAUAACAUACCUGAAUUUUUCCGGCUCCUGCUGCUUCCUUCUUCUUGUCUCCACCUCCAACUGAGAUUGUGGCAAAGUACUGGAUGACACGCUUGGUGUUCACAGUCUUUCCGGCACCAGAUUCUCCACUGGGUAUAAACAAGGACUUGUGAGAAUUUGGUCAAAGAUAUUCAAUCAUAAUAAACAAAGUGAGCAAGUGUGAUACUUACGUGAUCAAGACAGACUGGUUCUCCCUGUCUGUUCAAAUGAAAAAAAAGAAAUUCACAAUGCAUUUCUGCAACAGGUAGCUCAUUACUAACAAGUCCUUCUUUGCUACGUGAGGCACAUACCGGUAAGCAUGUUCUGAUAAGCGUUGUCAGAGACAGAGAAGAUGUGGGGUGGAGCCUCCAUACGCUUCUUGCCUCUGUAGGCAGCCACAACUUCAGCAUCGUACACAGGGAGCCACUUGUAGGGGUUCACAGUGGCACAGAACAAGCCAGAGUAGGUCUGAAAGGGAUUAAGCAGACAUUUAAGUUAAUGCCAGUUAACAUUUCUAACUAGUAUUUCAGUUUUUUUUAAAAAUAUAUCUCUUAGCUAAUCAGGUAUAUUUUCUCACAUAGAUCAUCCAGGCUGCAUAACGCUCUUUGAGGUUAUACAACACAGAGGCUUCAUUGAGGUGGGUCAUCAUGGCCAUGUCCUCAAUUUUGUCGAACUUGGGAGGAUUCAUUGGAGAGACGUCAUCUUCUUUAACUGUCCUCUCCUGCAACAGAACAUGGUCACAGUGAGAACUGAUCACAUUUAACAUUUAAUUUCCAGUUGAUUCUGACUUCAUGACACCAACCUCAUCAUUGUCCAGGAGUUUGACAGUGACUUUGCCACCGUCUUUCUUGACGAUGGUUCCCUUCAGGUACAGCUCUUUGGCGUCAGCUACAUAGCAGGCGCUCUUGGCAUCAAAGGGUUUGUUUUGAGCCUCAAUUCUCUCCUUCUCUGGCUUACGGAGAUAAAUGGCAGCUUUGCCAUAAAUGGCCAUCUCCGCGUCCGUACUCAUGGUGGCGGUUUACUUCUGUAAGGAAAUGACAAAUAAAUGUAAUCUUGGUUUUAACACUCACGUGAUUGGGUGCCCAGAUGGCUCAGCAGGUUUAGCACGUGACCAAUAAACAGAGGCUAUAGUCCCCAACACAGUGGUCAUGGGUUUGAGUCCAGCACAUGGCCAUUUACUGCAUGUCAUUCCCCCAAAACUCACAUGGCUAAGCAGCCCAGAAUAACUUUACCAUCUACAGAAUGUGUCCCUGUCAGGGAGAUGUAAGUUGAUUGUCACAAGUGACUUGACCUUUAGGCCUUCCUAAAGUUGAAGAGGAAGGUUUUGGUGUGGCCUCGUCAAAGUCUGGCUUGAAUUUGAUUGAAAUGCUGUGGCAUGACCUUAAGAAGGCUGUUUAUGCUUGAAAACCUACCGGUGUUUCUGAAUUAAAACAAUUCUGCAAAGAAGAGUGGGCCAAAAUACAAUAUCUACACAGAGAUGUGAAAGACUCAUUGCCAGUUAUGGAAAACUUUUGAUGUCAGUUGUUGCUGCUCAGGGUGGCCCAACCAGUUAUUAGGUUCAGGAGCCAUUUCCUUUUUCACACAGGGCCAGGUAGCUUUGAAUAGUUUUUUAUCCUUCAUAAAUAAAAUCACCAUUUAAAAACUGCAUUUUGUGUUUACCUGGGUUAUCUUUGUCUGAUUGUUAUGUUUGUUUGAUGAUUUAAAACAUUAAAGUGGGGAAAAGAUUCAAAAAAUAAUUUGAGAGGGCAAAUACUUUUUCACGGCACAGUAUAUUAUUAUAUCUAUACCAAAUGUAGAGGAACAGAAACGUCACUUACAACUUAAAGCAAUUAUUUUAUAGUAUUGUUCAUACCUGACCGUGUUUCCGUCAAAAGUCUGUUGUCUUCCACAAUCCUUUUGAAAACAUACCACACAUUUUGAGUUACUGAGAAAAGUUUGAAAGCAAGAAAGAUUUGCUCUUAACUAUACCCAAUUAAUUAAUACAAUAAAGUAAUGUGUCAAAUAAUAAAUACAUUAAACUGCUCCAGAACAGAUAGAAGUUAAGCCUACCACAAGCAGGAGUCUUCAAUGGUCUGCCACCACACACUGCUGCGAUCUGUUGGACUCCUUAUAUUGAAUCUGUCAUGAUCACUCAGCAGAGUUAAAUAUGGGACACACGCCAAAGGUGGUGUGGAUAACAGGGAGAGCAAUUAUCCGUUACAUUUAUGGUGCUCAUGCAUGCAUCAUGUCUUGAGUGUCCCUAUUACUCUUUCCAGUUUUUAAUUAAAUUGUCAACUUUUUUUGAGAGCUAUUUUUUCCAUGUCAUGACAAUCCAAGAUGUCAUAUCAACAUUAAAGAAAUGGAUAAAAAAAGAGGGGGAGUUCAUAGCAACACAAUUUUUUUUUUUUUUUUGCAUGGCUUGCUGUUUGUAUAUUAGAUUACUUCUCGGGCAUCUCAAGUUGCCUGUGACUUUGUCCCUGUAGCUGCUGUGGCCAUGAUUAAGACUGCAUCAGCACAUAUUCAUAGUCGGCUGCAUGUUUGCUAUUCGGCUGCAUGUUUCAGUUGACUGUGUCUCAAACAGAUGAAGAAAUACAGAUGCUUCAAUUUUAAUCAAUUCAGCUGACUACUUAGGCUGCAUAGCAUGUCACAUUUCACAGGUCCUUUAUAAAUUUUAACAACAGCCCCACCCCUCUUUACAGCCUUCAAGUCCAUUUUCUCUCUUUUUGAGUGUAACUUCUGACACUUCCAAAGCAGUUCAGUUACACAACCCUUUGCUAUCAUCAAUGUUUUGGUCUAUAAGAGUCAUUUUCUAUGUCAGGUUGCACAGGGACUCAGUGGUUAGCACUUUCGCCUGGCAGCUAGAAAUUCCCCACUUUAUGCCCCGCCUUCCCGGGAUCUUUCUGCAUGCAGUUUGCAUGAUCUUCCUGUGCAUGUGUGGGUUUUCUCCGGGUACUCCAGCUUCUUUUAUUACUGCUACCUCAGGUGGUAGAGAGAUCAGGUCAGGUUUUUAGAACAGGCUUCUUCCACUUUUAAACAGUUAAUAUUGUGUGUUCUUUGCAAAAACUAUAUACAUACUUAAAGUUCUAGUCAACCCCCAACAUUUGGAAUGUUACAGGAUGUUUGGCCAUGGUUAGUAACCUCAACAACCUGGUAACCUCAUGGUUCCAGAUCUGUCAAGUCUUGUGAUGUGUUUCUUUAGUUUUAAUGCUUUCAGUGAAAAUUACAUUUGAUUUAUGUAUGUGCGUUAAAUUUUAAUGUGACUAUAACUGGUAAGAAAGUUAACUCAGAUUCUUUUCAUAUUUAUUGAGAACUUUAUUUGCAUCUGCUGCCCCACAUCUCUUUUCUGUAACAGAAAGUAAUCAGGGUCUGAUUAUAUUUAUUUCCACUCUAUACUUUUAGCCUCAUCCAGGCAAUGCUGCAGGAUCUCAUGUACAAUAAUAAUAAUAAUAAUAAUAAUAAUAAUAAUAAUAAUAAUAAUAAUAAUAAUAAUAAUAAUAAUAAUAAUAAUAAUGGGUGACUUCCAGGUUCUUCUGCUUUGUCUUCAGGUCAGUUGCAUGUCAAAUAUGAUCAUAUACAUGUCGAUCCAUGGUUGCCUUCUUGAUCCUUCCUGUAUUCCUUGUUUCCUGCAUAGUCAAAGCAUCUUCUUUAUAUCCAAAUGGCUCUUGUUCUCUUUGACGGAAAGAUUUAGUCACACAAAUCUUCACAUGCCUGGUGAGAGUAGUCACGUCAAGGCAAAUUUAUAAAGAACAUAAACCUAAUGUGUAAAUUUAUGUGCUGUACAGUUAAAAUAAUAUAUAAUGAUGAAAUACACCAUAAAAUAAUAAGAAAAAUGAAAGAUACAACAAAGUUCUGAUCAGUCUAAUAGUGAGGAAAUGUUUUCACAAGUCUUGAAGUCCAUCACAGUCCCUUGCAUCACCAGCUGCUCAAACACUUUGCUCCCUCUCUUUGCACCAGUUUAUUUCAGAUCUUUCCUUAGAUCAGUCGUUUCAGGGGAGGAUUACUUGUAUGUGUUAAAAGCAAAAUUAUCCAUACUUAUUGUGAAUGUAACGCUGUCCACAUCUAAUGCCAGUUAGUGGCAGUCUCUCCCUUCCCCCUCCCUUCCUUUUUCUCUCCAGGUGGACGUGGGCGUGGUGUGUGGCAUUGCAGACAGGUGCUGUCAGUCGGUAAUCCCGAGGUGAUCACGAGCAGGAUGGAGUGAUUAGCAACACUACUCUCUUCUGCCAUAAAACCAGACGCAGUUCACCACUCUUUGCUGGCCCGUUGAACAUCCUCAUCCUGGACAUCCACCUGUCCGCUGUUCUGUCUCCAGUAUCCUUUAUGUGCCUCCUGCCAUCUGUCUGGACUCCCCUUGGAUCUCCACUCAUGCAUUCCUGCCCAGCUGCAGCACCUGUCUCGCGUCUGCCACCACUCCUGCCACACACCACCUCUGCCCACCUUGCCCUGCUCCCUUUCCUUUCCAGCCUUUCGACAGUUAGUUCCCAGCUCAAUAUCCGAACAAAAUUCUAGUUUUCUGUUGUGUGGUUGAUUACUAGGUUUGUAGUGCACCGUGUUGGCUUGUAGUAGUUUCCGAGUGUUCUUAGUAUUUUUCUGCUUAAUGUUCUGAUGGGGGCUGCACAGUGGUGUAGUGGUUAGCACUUUCGCCUUGCAGCAAGAAGAUCCCUGGUUCGCGUCCCGGCUUUCCCGGGAUCUUUCUGCAUGGAGUUUGCAUGUUCUCCCUGUGCAUGCGUGGGUUUUCUCCGGGUACUCCGGCUUCCUCCCACAGUCCAAAAAUAUGCUGAGGUUAAUUGAUCAUUCUAAAUUGCUCGUAGGUGUGAAUGUGAGAGUGAUUGUUUGU